rnacentral:rRNA from 1 species
CAUGUGUGUUAGUGGAAGCGUCUGGAAAGUCGCGCGAUACAGGGUGACAGCCCCGUACACAAAAGCGCAUGUGUUGUGAGCUCGAUGAGUAGGGCGGGACACGUGGUAUCCUGUCUGAAUAUGGGGGGACCAUCCUCCAAGGCUAAAUACUCCUGACUGACCGAUAGUGAACCAGUACCGUGAGGGAAAGGCGAAAAGAACCCCGGCGAGGGGAGUGAAAAAGAACCUGAAACCGUGUACGUACAAGCAGUGGGAGCACCCUUCGGGGUGUGACUGCGUACCUUUUGUAUAAUGGGUCAGCGACUUAUAUUCUGUAGCAAGGUUAACCGAAUAGGGGAGCCGGAGGGAAACCGAGUCUUAAUUGGGCGUUAAGUUGCAGGGUAUAGACCCGAAACCCGGUGAUCUAGCCAUGGGCAGGUUGAAGGUUGGGUAACACUAACUGGAGGACCGAACCGACUAAUGUUGAAAAAUUAGCGGAUGACCUGUGGCUGGGGGUGAAAGGCCAAUCAAACCGGGAGAUAGCUGGUUCUCCCCGAAAGCUAUUUAGGUAGCGCCUCGUGAAUUCAUCUCCGGGGGUAGAGCACUGUUUCGGCUAGGGGGCCAUCCCGGCUUACCAACCCGAUGCAAACUGCGAAUACCGGAGAAUGUUAUCACGGGAGACACACGGCGGGUGCUAACGUCCGUCGUGAAGAGGGAAACAACCCAGACCGCCAGCUAAGGUCCCAAAGUCAUGGUUAAGUGGGAAACGAUGUGGGAAGGCCCAGACAGCCAGGAUGUUGGCUUAGAAGCAGCCAUCAUUUAAAGAAAGCGUAAUAGCUCACUGGUCGAGUCGGCCUGCGCGGAAGAUGUAACGGGGCUAAACCAUGCACCGAAGCUGCGGCAGCGACACUGUGUGUUGUUGGGUAGGGGAGCGUUCUGUAAGCCUGUGAAGGUGUGUCGUGAGGCAUGCUGGAGGUAUCAGAAGUGCGAAUGCUGACAUAAGUAACGAUAAAGCGGGUGAAAAGCCCGCUCGCCGGAAGACCAAGGGUUCCUGUCCAACGUUAAUCGGGGCAGGGUGAGUCGACCCCUAAGGCGAGGCCGAAAGGCGUAGUCGAUGGGAAACGGGUUAAUAUUCCCGUACUUGGUGUUACUGCGAAGGGGGGACGGAGAAGGCUAUGUUGGCCGGGCGACGGUUGUCCCGGUUUAAGCGUGUAGGUGUGUGUUCCAGGUAAAUCCGGUUCACUUUAACACUGAGGCGUGACGACGAGGCACUACGGUGCUGAAGCAACAAAUGCCCUGCUUCCAGGAAAAGCCUCUAAGCAUCAGGUAACAUCAAAUCGUACCCCAAACCGACACAGGUGGUCAGGUAGAGAAUACCAAGGCGCUUGAGAGAACUCGGGUGAAGGAACUAGGCAAAAUGGUGCCGUAACUUCGGGAGAAGGCACGCUGACACGUAGGUGAAGUGAUUUACUCAUGGAGCUGAA